UGGCCUAGCCAGCCAAAGAUACAGCCAACACUGCAAGAGAAUUAUCCCUUGCAUUUGCACUGACUUUGAGGAUGGAUAUUCAGAUCCCAAUGUUUAUACUUCCAACGAAGAGAUUUCUUGGAACUUCAAAAGACUUCUGAACCACAUUACUUUUACUUUGUACGAUUCACAAGCUAGAGUUUGAAGAUAUUUCAGUCUGUUUUUAAAUAGAAGUAAAAUUUAGUAUAUCUGUUCUUAAUUAUAAGGUUUUUUUUGAAAAAAUAACGGAA
rnacentral:lncRNA from 1 species